rnacentral:tRNA from 1 species
GGCGCCUUCGUCUAACGGCUAGGACGUUGGGUUCUCAUCCCAGCAACAGGGGUUCGAUUCCCCUAGGCGUCA